rnacentral:rRNA from 1 species
AGCGAACGCUGGCGGCAGGCUUAACACAUGCAAGUCGAACGCCCGGGCAACCGGGAGUGGCAGACGGGUGAGUAACGCGUGGGAACAUGCCCUUUGGUUCGGAAUAACUCAGGGAAACUUGAGCUAAUACCGGAUAAGCCCUUAGGGGGAAGGAUUUAUCGCCGAGGGAUUGGCCCGCGUCCGAUUAGCUAGUUGGUGAGGUAAUGGCUCACCAAGGGGACGAUCGGUAGCCGGUCUGAGAGGAUGAUCAGCCACACUGGGACUGAGACACGGCCCAGACUCCUACGGGAGGCAGCAGUGGGGAAUAUUGGACAAUGGGCGCAAGCCUGAUCCAGCCAUGCCGCGUGAGUGAUGAAGGCCUUAGGGUUGUAAAGCUCUUUCGGCGGGGACGAUAAUGACGGUACCCGCAGAAGAAGCCCCGGCUAACUUCGUGCCAGCCGCCGCCGUAACAC